GCUGCGCAACAAUAUCUCGUCUCUCGGUCUCAGAGUAGAUUUUAGCGGAACUGACGACGCUCCGUCGAUAUAAAAGUGGCCGUCGGCUGUGUUCUUUGUAGUUCGAUCGCGGUAAAGCAACUUGGUCGUCGCCGACUUCUUCAUCAGGUAUUGACUGCUAGCAAUCAACAUGCUUCUUCGUCCAUCUACAUUUGUGCUCGUAGCAGUGACACUGGGGCUGCAUGUGGCAUCUGCAAAACGCACGUGCUUCACAAGUCUUCGCCUGAAGACCACCAGUGGAUUUGUAGAGAAGGAAUCGAGGGCUUUGAGACCAGGGCUUUCUUGGGACUUGCGCUACUGUUAAGAAGGAUUGUCCUGGAAAGCUUUUAG